GUUAACCAAUGUUAGGCUGCACGUGGAGCGCUACAAAGACGGAGCAGAUUUACACAUCAAUCCGGGACAACGAACGCCUAAACAUAUGAAACCAAAGUACCAGAUACUGUAUGCUACUGAUCAAUGCAUAAUUUUUGGUAACGUCCCACACCACGGCCAUAGAACGCAUUGCACGUACUGGGUCAAGAAAAGCGCUGUUCAGAAUCGGAAUUGGAUUUGCGACUUCAUGCUAGACAAUUACUGCAUCAGGCCGGAGAUUGUGCUUAAGGACACAAAAGACUGUUGGCCUGAAAAAAAUGCAUAAAUACCAAAAAGAAACUGCAACACUCUUCGUGAAUGCCGCUUUUGCCACGCAGCUUUCAUGGAAAACGUCCUUUUCCCGAUGCUCACCAGUUAGUGAGUGUAAGGGGCAAGCAGACGUUCCUUGAGAGAUUUUACAAAU